AGACGGAGGGAGCGGGGCACGGAGGUGUGCGGGUGCCAGCGCCCUUGGCUGGGAGCUCCUAGCUCGGCCUGUGGCUUUUCCUUUGUGUCCUCAGGCUUGUUUUGCUGAAUUUAUUCUAAACCACUUUAUCUGGAAACAACUUCGUGUUACAAAGAACAGGGAGUACAGAAAACUUCAUUUCUUGAGUGAUCCUUCUUCACAUAGCAUCUAAAGGAAAGAAUCUCAUAUGGAUCCUGAGCGAGGUGUACGGACUCACUUCGUUCAGCAGAUUAUGUUGGUGGAACAGAUUGAACCCACAGUAGGAGCUGUCAGAUGAAGUACAGAUCAGUAUCGAACACUGAGUUGGGAAAUAAAUACUUUAUACCAAUCUACAUCCUUUACAGGAAAGAUUCUGCUGUGAAUAUUCAGAGAGGACAUUGCAGGCAUUUUCUGGAAUGACAGCCAGUCCUGCUCCUUCUGCUCACACUGCCUGCUGGGGAGCUCUUCACAUGUUCUGCUCACGUCAAGCUGGCUUUCCUGUAAGAUUUCUGAAGCUGUUCUGCAAACAACUGACAAUUGAAGCCUGAAUAUAUGCCACAGGGAGGGCAGCACAUAUUUGGAAAAGAAAAAAAAGAGGAGAAAGCUCAAGUAAGAAAUAGGACCCCUUUCACUGGGGGAAGGAGUCUUGCAGACUACUUGUACUUGAGAUCAACAAGAAUUGUUGUGGCAGGGCGUUUUUGUGUUCCAUUUAUAUCCCCAUUUUUGUAUUUGUUGCCUUGUCUAGGAGAACAUUUAGUAAUAUUUAUUGUCAGUUCUUUCUUAGUAAGAUAACAAACAAAUGAUAAUCAAUCAACUGCACUCUGAAUAAAAAGAAAGCAGUAGUUGUAACACCUCUGACCAAAAAUAUUUAACAGCAAUUAAGUGGUUUACAUUUAUCCAGUUUUGACACAUGUGUGAUUUUGGUUUUAAAAAACUGUAGCUUGUCAGUGUAUUCAUAUAAUUGAGUUAAUCCCUCUUGGAAAGGAUUGCUUUGCCUAUUUGAAUUGUUAUUUAGAAGGGGGGUAUUCUGAUGGCAUGAAAGAUGGGCCAAAGCUAAAAGCUGGCAGAGGAAGAGAAGCACAGUCAGAGCUUGAAAAACAAGGAAAAAUAAAUACUAUAUAAACAAAAUCUGGUAAAUCACAUUCUGCCAAGUCUGUGAACAAAGCGAAAGGGCGCUUUCAUGAAUACAUGAGUAGGAGGAGUUUAAGACUACAAUCGUGUAAAAUGACUUAAUGGAAAAAUGCUGGUGUGGGAUAAGAGAGUCCAUUUUCUUUCAUAAUGAGGAAGAGAGCAAAGAAAUUGUACCUUCAUAAAAGUAAAGGAAGACUAAUACCAACUCCAUAACACAUACAUCAAAAUAACUUGGGAAGGAGACAGUGGUUCGCAGCCAAGGGAAAUAAAUAGAACAAGAGUGGAACCACAGGAUGAUUGGAAGAGGAAAAUAUGAUGUUAUCCACAGCAGAGAACUUAGUCAGUAGUAUUGCACAUCAGACAGCAAAAGCUGGGGAUUGCCAGUUGGGUAGGACUAGACUGCUAGUAGCCAGUCCUUGAAUGGAGAUGGUGGUGGUGGUUGUCAGUAACUACCUGGAGGAAAGCCUACAAACACUGUAACCUCAGACGUAGAGGGACCAACCCUCACCGUUGUAUCACCAUGUCUAUAUAUUAUGACACCACUUGUGCAACUGGGCAUUUCCAGGAUUAUGACACCCUACCAAGAAUAUUAGUUAGCAUUUUGCAGAAUGCUGUAAUCAUGGAAUUCACAAAAUCAUAGAAUCGUUAAGGUUGGAAAAGGCCUCCAAGAUCAAGUCCAACCAUCAGCCCAUCACUCUGCUCACUAAACCAUGUUCCCAAGCGCUACAUUUCUGCAUUGCUGGAACACCUGCAGGGAGUUGUGCACAUGAGAGACACUGCCUUAUUUGUCUCCAACUCACAGAGUGUUAAUUAUGGCCCCGUGUAAGCAAAUCCAUUGCCUAACUCCUUAAAGAAGACUAGAAAAUGCGUGACAGAGAUCUAGUGCGUGAUAUGAAAUGGAAGAAAAUGAAACACAAAAAAGCUGAUAAAGCCAUGGAAUGACCACAGAAUUGGGAAAAGACAUAACUUUGAUUUCCUCCAAAGCUGAAACAGCAGGAGGGAGGAGGAGAGAAUGAAUAUGCAGUGUGGUAGGAAAUGAGUAUUAUAGGCAUAAAGGACAUCUUAAGCAAUGACUGCUGAGACUAAUGUACCGAGUAUGCUAUCACUGUGCUCAUCUCUGUGAGUUUCAGAAAGGAAUUUCUCACAACACUGCAAAGCAGAUUUAUGUUUAUGGGCAGCUUUUAUGGGUUUGGAGGCACUGCCCUUGAGCUACAAGGAGACUGAGGCCAAAGGAGGAUUCUGCUGUGCCAUGCCAGUGUCUAGGAUGGAUGCAGUCCUUAGCAAAGGACGUUCUGCUGGAAGAUGCCUGUAUUCAGUUAUAAAUCUGACAUAGCACUCAAGAUGAGGUGAAAUGACUGGAAAGAAAAGUGUUUGAGGGGGGAAUCAGGACAGGGAAAAUAGAGGCUGAGAAGUCCUUGAUCGAGCGCAAGCACUGCCCUACGACAACUGAACCGUGGGUGUGUUAUCAACAUGGUUUUUCUCCUAAAUCCAAAACACUGCCCCAUAUCAGCUGCUAGGAAGAAAAUCCCCAUCGAAGCCAGGAUAUUGCGAGAGAGAAGAAAAUAUAGAGCAGAUAGAGCAGACCUCAUGUUUUAUAUUGCAAAACAGGCUGCUGGCUUUUUGAAUGUUAGCAUGGUCUGAUCAAUCCCUUCUCUAAUAUAGCUGGCAUGAAUAUUGGUCAGAGACAAAGCAUUAAGAAUGCAGAGCAGGAGAGGUUUUGAAGACCACUUACAAGGUCAGUUUUUCAAAGUGUUUAGGUACCUGGCAAGACUUUCACAAGUUUUCCUGCCUCCACUCAAGGUAGUGUUUUGCUUCUGAAGAUUGACCGCCUGCCUUUGUGCAUUGUGGUGGGGAUCAUUCAUCUCCCAGUGCCUCAGCAGUGGAUAGUCAGGCAAUUCAUGUAGAUACAUAUACUGUAAGAAAGGGAAAGCAUUUUUUCCUUUCUGUGGAAAUAGUUAUUCUCUGCAGCUUAUUAACUGUCCUGUAAGUCAGCAUCUCUACAUGGCACACAUGAAAGGAUUUCUUAAAAGUCCUCAUUUUAAAGCAUGUAAGCUUACAGGAAUGUUUAUUUCCUCAAACUUUUUGGACACAUGGUCUUUCUUGCAAUAAUUAUCUCCAUGUGGUUGAAAAGGCACCACAGAUUUGACACUAAUGUUGUUUCCAUCAGUGUAAAAAUAUAACAUAUUUUAUAACACAUAACAUAUAACAUCAGUGUAAUAUAUAACAUUUCUAGAGUGUAUUGCUUUGUAAAUACAAGGCAAUUUGUGUAAGUUUGACAGACACUAACAGUCUUAUGGACAGGUUUACCAAAAAAAAAGCACAUAACCUUUUACAUAGAAUCUUUGUGCAUGUGUUUGUGCAUCUUUAAAUUCCUCUCGCUGUCUGAGCUCAGCCUGGUGCCAGCCCAGCAAGAAUGGUUAAUUGAUGGGGUGAAGCCUGUGUGUGACUUCAGCAUCCCAGCUGCAGGAGCACAGCACAGAAGCUCUGCAGUCCAUGCAGAGAGCUGAUCUUCCUCUGUAUGCUGCAGCAAGUCCAGUUUCCCAGCAGACAAGAAAACGUCUCUGUGAUGGCACCACUGGUUGAGAAACACAGGUUCC